rnacentral:lncRNA from 1 species
UAUUUAUAGGUGAUAUGGAUGGUGACAUUGCAAUGAUCUUUCCUCUUGCUUACUUCAAUGAACUUGAAAAUAUGGUUGCAUUUUAAAAGGCCUGCGCUACCUUUAUGAGCUGUAGCACUCACUGCAGAGGUCUGCGGCUUCACUCCUGAAGUCAAGUCGGGGAGUCCAUGAAACCACCGGAAGGAAGAAACCCCGGACACAUCUGAACAUGUGAAGGAACAAACUCCUGACACAUCUUUACGAACUGUAACGCUCACCGUGAGGGUCUGCGGCUUCAUUCUUGAAGUCAGCGAGACCGAGAACCCAGUGGAAGGAACCAAUUCCAGACACAUUAUCACUAUUAAACCUAUGUCUGUACCUUCUAGCAUUAUAUAUAAAAAGUGCAACAUAGAAAACAAAAUUUAAAUCCACAACUAUUUAAUGUUCACAACUUCUGGAUUUAUCUCAUGUUGCAAACUAUUUUUGUUACCCUAUUCUUUGAGAAAUAUAAAACAUCAGUAUUUCA